CAGGGUCAGUGCCAGGCCAAGGGGAACCCCAAGUUGAAAUGGGGCUACAGCCCACCCUCCUUGCCGGAUUCUCCCCCACUGCCAAACUGGGAAGUUGUGGUUAUUUUAUUCAGAAAGGAGGCGCUCUGGCGCUUUUCAAUUCACUAAAAAAUGGCACAGCGAGUUAACGGCAGGGCUUCCAGACUUCCGUGUGUGUGGCUGGUCUGGGACAGGCCCCCGGGCAUGAUUCUUCUUGUUAUUUCGAGAGCCCUUCGGCUUGAAGCUGAAGGUUCUGGAGUCGGCCUUGGAGAAUUGAUGCAACACCCCAGAACACGCUAGAACAAGCUAGAUGGCAGCACGUCAGUAUUCACGGCCCUCUCCCAGCUGUAGGGGAGCGUUACAGGGGCACCAUGCCCUUGUCCGGCUUCGGAAAAGGAGUGGAGGACGCUCAGGUCUCAAAAGGCCACUCGACCCGCAGUGACGGUUGUAGCUGGGUGCUCUGUGUCAGGGGAAAGGAGUAUUUAAAUGGAUGCUCAGCAGCUCCUCUCUCCUCACAGUUCCUCAAAGAGGAUGAAUUCAGUCAGCCCUUUGGCUCACAGGAAAACAAAAAUUGAUGGCUUUCAAAGAGACAGCCAGUAAGCGCGCUUUGGGAAGAAGCGAGGUGUUGAAUGGGAAGCCAACCCUUCACAAUUGUGACUAACAUCCCCGUCCCUAUCAUCGUCGUGACUUUAUUCUAUUAUUUAUAGGACGGGAGAAGGUACCAGACACAUCAAAGAUGGAAGCUAUCAAACACACCAUUCUGGGCUUAGAAAAUCACCCCAGUCAUAGCUCCUGAGGAGAGAAGUGUUCCCAGGCUGUUCCUCAUCCGGACUUGGCUGUGUUUUUACCACGUCCUGCACACUCUCUUGGCCACGUGUGGCUGGAAGGAGCCGAUGCCUCACCCAGGACCUCCCAUCCACAGACUGGCCCGGAUUGUGUGAUACAGCCCAGCUCAAGCAACCCUGUCCAAAUGAGAACCAGAAUUAGCAGUUAGAUCGAUCAAAGCACAUCUUUCUCUCUGAGGGAAUUGAUUUUGGAAAUGCAGAGAAAAUGAGCCAGCUGGUAGCAGGACGAGAAUCAGGGAGAUAUACUCAGCAGAGGUGAGUGAAGAGCACAGGCACGGAGUCCCACCAAUGCUGGAGCUCCAGGACCAGUGGGUCUGAAUCCAGAUGCCUCUGCACACAGGCUGAUAGCAGACCCACACAGGUGGGUACCACAUGCUGCUCAAGGUGGAGGAUGUGGCUUGCUGCAUCUGAGGGUAUGUGUUGUCACAACAGUGUUCGUCGGACAGGCUGUUGAGAGGAGUGCUUCGUGGGUAACGGGAGAAUCCCAGACGGCACACUGAUUGGCAGAGGGAGGAGAUAAUGACAAGCACGUGUGCAGGAACGCGUGUUUCCCGGGAUGUGGGAAAACUCGGUCUUGGAGUAGAGAAGAGACCAUAGUCGGGGUCGCGACAGUUACCCUCAAAUGAAGACACGGGCUUGAAGAGCAAUCGAGUGAACGGCAUGAUAAGUAGGGAUGUCACUGUGUCCCUUCAAAGGCUCGCCAAAAAGUCUAGUAUGUGAAUGUGCGCCAUUGUAUUCCUCAGGACCCUUUUGGUUUCAAGUGACAGAAAUUCAACUCAAAUUAACUUACAAAGGAACUGGAUGGCUCAUGCAUUGGAAAAAUUAAGGGUAGAAGUGACUGCAGGGGUGGCUGGAUCCAAAUGUGCAGGAGCCUCAGGAAUUAGGAGUCUCCACGUCUUCCUCCACUUUCCUCCAGUUGGCUUUCUUCUUUGGUUGGCGGGCUCUUCCUGCGCUCAACAUGGCGGCCAACACUGGCUUCCUGUUUCAUGCUUGCCUCCUUCCAGCUUAGCAGCCGCAGCAGGAAAAGAGUGAUUCCCUAAGUGGGCAGUCCCAGGGAUGGCUCUCAUUGGGCCACCUUGGCACCUGGGUCCCUGAAGCAAUCACUGGGGCCAGGGAGAAGCAGCGAGCUGACUGGCCUGGCCUGGGUCACGUGCUCAGCCCUGGAUUAGGCGUGAUGUCGGCCCCACCAGAACCCAGGGCCUGACGGUAGGAAAUGGUCGCUACUGGAAGGAUGUUGAACAGGCGGUCACAACAGAUAUCCACCUCGGCCCCAAACAAAACAGUUGGGUCCAACCUCUCUGAGCAAUGAUCCUUGAAUCCUGACAUCUACUUCCUCUAGCUGCCUUGAGUGUGAAUAACUGUCUGCUCCCAAACUCCACGAGGCCCAACUAUGCUUUCAUGAGGGGUUUAUCAAUCGGGGUUCCUAUUGACAAACAACAAAACCCACUCUAGUUUGUUUACACAGAACAAGAAGGUCUUACAGCAUAUCAGUGGCUCCCAGAAGCUCUGGCAGAGUUAGGGAAUGGGGCUUGAGGCUCUGCAGCCAUGAACAAUACCCAGAUCCCCACUGGUCUGGCCACAGGCUUGAUCCCACUCUCUUUGCUCAUGAUACUGGGCGAUCUCUGCCCCUGCUGCCUCCAGGGCUCCGUGCCCCCUGCCAGGCUCUGCCCCCGUCACCGAGAUACAAUCCCAUGUGGCAGCCACUUCCUUGCUUUUCCCUCUUCCACAUUGAAGUUCCAUGUUUCUGCAUCCAGUUGGCAGAGCCUAGGUCACGUGCCCUGCAUCUUAGUUGCAGAGUUAGCCUGGGAGACUGAGUCCUGAUCUUCACUCUGCUGAGGCAAUGCCCCUAACACGGCAGAUUUUCCUAAGUUAGGAAGGCUAUUCAGAUGAUGCUGGGCGGGCACCGACACGACCCAUAUCCACUACACCGUGUUUCAAAGAGUCGGGUCUUCUGCAUCUUCUGGGGUCUAGAGAGAUCAUGCCAUGGGGCCAAGGCUCCUUAUUUCCACAUGUGGCCUCCCAAUCCAUCUGUGAGUCUCUGAUCUUUGCAAACCACGGAACCCAGUUCGCACACGUAAUCUGGCCAAUGUAAUGUGGAUAAAAUUUAGCUUGGGGGCAAUGUUUCCUUCAGCAAGACUGGCUCACAGAAGCUCCUGGAAUCUUCUCUAAGAGGAAAUUUUGAGGGUGCCUAUAAAGCAUGGCCAUGAGGAGCCCUCCCAGGAGUGCCAGCCCACAGGCAUUUCAUAGGCCUUGUGCAGAGCUCUCAAAUGCCCCACUGGGCUACUGUUUAACCACAGACCACCCCAAGCCAUCGACAAGAAGCUGGGUUGUCAGGCAGGGGCUCCCUGGCAAGGGUCUUCAUGGGCUGAUAAACUCCCUCCAGAGUCUGGAAUCCCAUCACAGCCCUUGCCAGGAGAUUAGAUGACCUGACCUCCCUCCUGUGGCUCCCCACUGCUGACGUCACUCAAUGAGGAAAUCGUUUUUGAGUAUCAACUACGUCCCAGGCAUUGUGCUAACACUGGAUGCGUUCCACCCCCAGGGAGCCUUCAGACAAGUCAACGAGCCAAAGCUUACAUGGAGCAGGGGAGGCCGGGAAGGGAAUGAAAACGUCCAAGCAUCGUUAUCCAGAAAGAGAGGCACAGUUUCCACUUUGAAGCAGACUUAUUGAUCAGGGUCACUAUGGGAGCCAAGGUCUCUGACCUCAUCCAGAAGUAUAGUCAUUAUAUUUUCCGAACACGCGGUCUAACAAAGAAAUGUCCCAGGCUGGAGGGUUCGUUUGUGUCAAAGUCUUCUAAAGGCCCUGAAGCCACAUACCCUGGACAGCUUAGGGAGAUGUGGGAAGACGGAAGAGCCAGCCUUGCCCAGAGGCGUUUCUGGACCACUCCAUGGGAGCUAAAUGGCGAAGAGAGCCCCUGGCGGCCCACAGUAGUAACUGCAGCGCCGGCCGCCUCUGGGAAGAUGGGGCUGUUCCUAG
rnacentral:lncRNA from 1 species